GUUUGGGUUCAGAGCUAGAGAGUGAAUUUUAGAGAAAAGCAAUAGUUGUGACUCAUUCACUUUCUAAACUUUUACACAUAGUCAUUUACGAUAAUUGUUUUCUUUGCAAUGUAUCUUCUUAAGUCUCCCCCUUUGUAGUGUCCUAAUUACUGGUAGCACUUUUAGUUAUUCUAAUUUAUGCAAUUAAAGGUCUGUGACAAUGAAAACAUUUCCCCAAUUGCAUUUAUACUCUCAGGGUACCAGACCAGAAGAUCAGAUCGUAGAAGUUACUGGAGAAAAAGAUCAGCGGACAGCACUCUUGAACUACAUGCCAGGCCUCUUCUUCCUGGAACUCUAAUGGAUUUAAAUGGCUUAAGAGACGGGAUGAAUUGUUGAAAAUGGUUCUUUCAAAAGACCUCACGGAAGGCCAAAGACAAGACUCACUGAGGCCAAGCUGAUCAACAAUAUCUAUAAGUUGACGCAUUCUAAUCAUGUGGCGAUCUUGACCUUGGGAGCUUGAUUUGUGGACCAGUGUCCCCAAGAAGAUGACCAUCAGACAGAUGACAAUCCUCUCCAUGUUGCCAGGACUGGAUCUCAUAAGUACCAACAGUAGAGCUAGACCUUGGUCUCGUUUUCACUUCAGCUUGACUGAGAACAGGUAUACGUGUGCAUGUGCUAAUGUGUGGGGGCAGGGAUUGAUGGAGUCAACGAAAUGUGCCCCAUCUGCAUCUUUGACAGGAAAAAGAGAGAAUGGGUGAAUUCCAAUUUUCAGCAUGAAUCAAGAAUGUCACCGAUGAAGUUUUUGAAUGCUGUGCUCCUAAUCUCAUUUUCCUGUAAGCAUCCUCCAGAGACUUCGGUGAAGGAUGAUGCAAACUGUGUUUCUUCAGCAUGUGAGCACCAUCAGCCAUGAGUGUGGCAGCUCCAGAAUGUCUAUACCAGAGUGGCUGAGAGUCAGCAACUUGGCUGGAAGCUACACUUGAAUAGCAAACAAACCACUUUUACUUAGUUUCCAUGUCUAUUUGGUACCUUGGAGUACAGUGAUGAGUUUUACUAGAUGUGGACUUUCCAGGAAUAUAGCCAAGGUCGUCACCAUGAAAGUAUGAAACUUUAGUCAUUUACCCAAGGGGAUUCAUGGACAUAUAUUAAGAAUUUUCUUUAAUGGACUGUGUUUAUAGAACACCUGGUCAGGACGGAAAUGAGGCCAGGGAACUAAAGGGGUAGAAGUCUGAAGAGGAAUGGUUUUGCAUGGGAAAACUGUGCCAGGUCUAAAACUGGGCUGAACACUAUUUGUCCCCAACUCUCUGGCCCGGUCCUCAUAGUUCUUUCUGUGAUCCCUGCGUGGUGAAUACUCCUUUUCUGCUUUCACUGGCUUUGGCCCCUCAUGGAUAGAAUUAGAUGUUCUGCAUGGCAAACUGUGGGAAGAGAGGCCUCCAGUGUUUAGAGUGAUAUUAUCAUGUGUACCACUACUAUUAUACAUACUAAAGGUAUUCAGACAGGUGGCUUGUCUCUGGGCUUUAUAUAGAUCUCUGUCAAGCUAGAAGAAAAAUGUCACUAAAAUAAUUCAAGACAAUUUUUGUACUUUCCAACGAUGUUCAGGUAACAGCUGAAAAUAUUCUCACUUAUUUGACUUGAGGAAGAAAAUUCGAACGAGGAAAAUCAUCAAGGAUUUGCUAAAGUCCCUUCUGUAAAAUCUUCCUUAAGGAAGUUUAAACACUCCUAUUCUCUCUUCUCUCAUUCUUUUGAACUCACUGCAUGUAUUGAUAUCACUGACUUGGUUUGUUUUCUAGAAUAUAUGUAAAAGUAAGAGUGUGUAUAUAUAACCCAUUAUGUACAUAACAAGAACAGUUCCUUCCAAUAUUCAAAUUUCAUGACUCUAGAUCACUACUGUGCAUUCUAAGAAGGUCAGGGACUCAUGGAGACCAAAGGGUCAAUCCUGGUCAUUGUUGUCUUACGAGAGAAAAACAAGAGCCUUCUCGGGCCCCGUGUUCUCUAGCUCUUGAUGUGGCCUCUUCGGUAUCACUGGCAGCCCCACAGUCUGGUGGUCAGUGUGUCGCAGCAGAGGGUCAUUCACCGAUGCUGCUUAUCCACAGCACCUUUUCUGUGGGGAAUGGGGGCCUCUAUUCUGCUAGUAGACUCAGGUGUGUCACUCUGUGAUACUCUUAAGACUGGGUUCAUUGAGGACAGGUCUCUUUGCUAACAUUCACACAAAGUCAUUGUUUGGAAGCACAGUCCUGCUUCUGAAAUGCUAGGUCUGGAGGAGUUCCAGCAGCAGCCACAUGGGCCCUCUCCUCAGAUCUUGGCUCCAACAUGGGAUACUCAGCAGUGAGGCUAGAGAUCAGAUGUCCUUCAUUCCUUGACCACUAAGCCUAGAGGAUGGAGAGAAAGAAGUGGAACAUCUGCACUCUUCAACCUGAGUCCACUCCAACUCCAUCCCACAAGGUGAGGCAAGUUCCACCAGCCUCUCCAGCCUCCUGUCUAAUAUGAUCAGAGAAAUCCUCUUCUCUCUGGACUCAAGACCCAUCCCUGUUUCCUUCCCUAAGGCGACAGGUGGCUAUAGCACCCUUUGUCUUGGCCCUGCAGCCACCAAUACACAACCAUAAAAAUAAAGUAGUCCAAUUAUUAGCCUUCGCUGUGUCCUGUGUCCUCCUCCCAAGAGAUCUGCGGAACCUUCAUUUAUCACCUGAAUGGGAGCCUCCUCCCCAUGCUUUCCCAGGGGGCAGCCAUAGGACCUCACAGAGAUGUUACUGUGUAUCACUCUAGACUCUUUUCCUAUAUACAUAGAACAAUAAAGGAAUAGAUAGGGACACAUAGACACUUAAGGAAAUAGAAUUAUGUAUGGAGAUAGAAACAUAAAAAUAAAUAGCACAGACAUAUAGAUAUAGAAAACUGGUACUUUUACAUAAAAACUUAAUCUCACCAUAUGUAGUCUAUAAAUUUUUUUUUCACUCAACCUAUGUCAGGGACAGGAGUCCAUACAGGAUUCACACACAGGGAUAUCUCAUUAGAUUAAUAUUCCAUUGUAUGGCAGUACCACAAUUUAUCCAUUCAUAACCCUACUGAUAAACAUUUAGAUUGUUUCCAGUUUUUAUCCACUGCAAACAAUGCUGCAAUGAACAUCCUUAGACAUAGAGAUCUCUAAGCAUAUGUGAAAUAUAUUCUUUUAAUGUUGUAUUUUAAAAUACAUGUCUUGAAUUUCACUUCCUGAGUGGAAAGAUACUUUGAAAAACUUUGUAGAAACUGCCAAAUUUCCCUCUGACAUGCCAUACCAGUUUAUACUCCCAACAACAUAGAGUUUCUUUUCCUCUCAUUAAUACUUUAUGUUAUGAAUAUUUUAAAUAUCUACCAACAUAUUGGGGCAAAAAUAGUAUCCUCUCAUUGGUUUGUCUUUCCUUGAUCAAUAGUUAGAUCUGCUAUAUUUUCAUCAGUGUGUUUAUUUUUCCACAAAUUGUCUGAUUCAUAUUAUUUGCCAAUUUAUUCAUUUGUUUCUUAUUUACUUAUAAAGGCUCUUUUUCUAUUAAAGAUAUGUUAAACAUGUAGAAAUUAUUUUCUCUGUGGUAUCCUUUGCCCUACUGAGGUUUUGAGCUUUCAUGUUAUUGUGUCUGAGAAUCUUAUGUUUUAUGUCAUGGACCUUCGUUUAAUAGAAAGGGUGUCUCACCUAACAAAACCAAAAAUGGCAGUAAUUAAUUUAGUGUUCUUUUUGGUUGAAGAAUUCUAAUGCCAAGGAGUCAUGUUUAAUUCAGGAGCGCUUUUAAAUGAAUUUGCAUUUCAUUUGUCACAAGAUUAGCUACAUACUUCUUUGAAAUAUAAUAAUACAUUUAUGGUUGGAAGUGAUUUAGUCAGUUUAUAGGCAACAUCCUUCCUGUGCAGCAAUGAAUUCAUGAGCCCUGUGAACAUCAUUAUUUUAGAAAAAGAAUUGGAUAUAAUAUAUACUUCUUAUAUAUAGAGAGAUCCAAUCAUAUACCACAUUCAGGAGUGGGGAGGACAAGGGACCACAGAAUCCUGAAACGGCAUCUGAGCCAUCAAAAGAAUGUGCUCACUACAGUUUCAGUGCUGAAUGUUUUAUUUUACUUCAAUUCUUUAAAUAUGGUUUCUCCAUAUACAGGGUGUACGGUAGUUCUAAAAACGCGAAUGACUAAUUAACAAAGUGCAGACCAGGAAAACACAGACUCUGUGAGAUUUACCAAAUUGGCUCCAAGACUACCCUGAAGUCACCCUUUAAACUGAGAAAUAGUUAUAUCUGAUAGACUCUGUUGCUGCAAAUAAAGGGAAAUGGGAUGGCUCUUUCUGAAAAAAGACUUUGGGCCAAUCAAAAAGAUACUAUCAAUGAUUAUUCUAGCAAACACUUUUGUAUCUAAGUGGUUUAUAGACAUAAUCUCAUUUAAAGCAACAACCAUGAGAAAUAGGUAUUUUGAGUGUGCCUCUUUACUACCGAAGCACAAAGAAGAUAAGUAAGACAUUGAAGUGAUUGGAGGAACUCUCUCCAGAGCCUGACGACUUCUCUCUACAGCAGGGAACUGCCUCCAUUGCUGAUGUUGGAUUAAACAGAACAGCCUGUGCAGUUAGUUCAUGGAUUCCAUAAAGGGACUGGACCUUAAUGAAGACGUUCCUGACAUGGGUUUGGGGUAAGAAGGAGAGUCUGUUUGCAAAAUUAUUAUUGAUAAUAACUAGAAUUUAAAUGUAUAUCUUUUCUUGGUUAAUUAAAU
rnacentral:lncRNA from 10 species